rnacentral:sRNA from 1 species
AGCGACACCGUUGUUAUCAGGGGCCCUUCCUCGGAUGUGGAGAAGGCCAAGAAGCAGCUCCUGCAUCUGGCGGAGGAGAAGCAAACCAAGAGUUUCACUGUUGACAUCCGCGCCAAGCCAGAAUACCACAAAUUCCUCAUCGGCAAGGGGGGCGGCAAAAUUCGCAAGGUGCGCGACAGCACUGGAGCACGCGUCAUCUUCCCUGCGGCUGAGGACAAGGACCAGGACCUAAUCACCAUCAUUGGAAAGGAGGACGCCGUCCGAGAGGCACAGAAGGAGCUGGAGGCCUUGAUCCAAAACCUGGUAGGGAGCGGGCCUCGGCGGCUGACUCUGCUGGGGCCGUGAUGGGGUGGCUUAUCUUCCAUCUCUUCUUAACACUGCAGGAUAAUGUGGUGGAAGACUCCAUGCUGGUGGACCCCAAGCACCACCGCCACUUUGUCAUCCGAAGAGGCCAGGUCUUGCGGGAGAUUGCUGAAGAGUAUGGCGGGGUGAUGGUCAGCUUCCCACGCUCUGGCACACAGAGCGACAAAGUCACCCUCAAGGGCGCCAAGGACUGUGUGGAGGCAGCCAAGAAACGCAUUCAGGAGAUCAUUGAGGACCUGGAAGCUCAGGUGACAUUAGAAUGUGCUAUACCCCAGAAAUUCCAUCGAUCUGUCAUGGGCCCCAAAGGUUCCAGAAUCCAGCAGAUUACUCGGGAUUUCAGUGUUCAAAUUAAAUUCCCAGACAGAGAGGAGAACCCAGGUGGGUCCCCCAUUAGCCCUGUUCUGCUUGUUCAUAGUGGUGCCUCCCAUGUGAGAGGCAGAGCUGUCGCACAUACUGGUGAGGCUCUUUCCUGUCUGCUGGAAAACCAUCUGUGUAUUCUGGGGGCUUCCAGAGGUUCAGGGUCACUCCCUGGCCUUUAAAAGAUGGACCACGUCAGUUAUUGACGGAGUGACCAGGUGACCUUCAUAUGUCCUAGAGACACACAAGGUAGCCAGUCCCAAGGCGAUGAGGAGCGUGCAGCCUCAUCCUCGGGUGUCCCGAGUUCAGUCCCAGUGAUUCUCAUGACAUCGUUUGGAUCUCAUGAGCCCCAUCGUAGAGCUUCCUCCUCCACAC